rnacentral:misc_RNA from 1 species
UGUCAUCUCCCCUUGUAGUGUCAGUGUAGCUGUCUUUGCCACAAGUCUAAGAGGAAUAACCUGCAACCUUACGAUCCAAAAUGAAAAAAGGCUGGAGCUAUGUGGGCGCUGUCGCCACGCUGACGUUACUGGUGUCGCUCUCUCAUGUUGUGGUCGGAGACGAUGCAAUCGUCAUGGGCAUUCAGGGGGAACUCGGGAAAAUUGAGGAUUCUCUGAAUGAGCUGGUGCAGGUGGUGGAUCCCCCGACCACGUCAACUGUCUCACCGUCCUCAACCGGGUCUUCGGGAGGCCCGGUUUCAUCAGACACCUCAUCAGUGUUACCAUCAUCUACGACUGGAUCCCCAACUGAGCCGCCAGUUUCUUCAACUACGACAGGAUCACCAACUGAGCCGCCAGUUUCUUCAACUACGACAGGAUCACCAACUGAACCGCCAGUUUCUUCAACUACGACAGGAUCACCAACUGAGCCGCCAGUUUCUUCAACUACGACAGGAUCCCCAACUGAGCCGCCAGUUUCUUCAACUACGACAGGAUCACCAACUGAGCCGCCAGUUUCUUCAACUACGACAGGAUCACCAACUGAGCCGCCAGUUUCUUCAACUACGACAGAAUCACCAACUGAGCCGCAAGUUUCUUCAACUACGACACCGACUGAGCCAGAAUCAGUCGAAGAGCAUAACGGAGAAAAACGAUCCGAAGACACCCAAUCCUCAACCGAACCGCCCCAGUCUUCCUCAACCGAACAGCCCCAGUCUUCCUCAACCGAACAGCCCCAAUCCUCCUCAAGCCAACAGCCCCAGUCUUCCUCAACCGAACAGCCCCAAUCUUCCUCAACCGAACAGCCCCAAUCCUCCUCAACCGAACAGCCCCAAUCCUCCUCAAGCCAACAGCCCCAGUCUUCCUCAAGUGAACCUCCGUCAACCACUCCACCCCCCGCCGUCUGCUCAACCGACGACGACGCCGCCGACGACCUGUGCCUGCGCCUGACUUCGGUCCUGAACGACAUCGAGGCCGCUUCGAAGACCGUGGCCGAGGGGACCAUGGAGCAGAACGAGCUGGACGACCUGAGGAACUGCUCCUCGAGACUCGACGACGUGAUCGAGGACAUGCGAAACGACACGACCUUUGUCGAGAGUCGCGUCGACGUGGAGGCGUUGAAGACGAGGAAGGAGGCGCUCGACCAGAUCCUGGCAGAGGCCACCCAAGAGGUGGAGGAAAGACUCAACGGCGGGGAUGACCCUGACCAAGUCCUCGCCAUUGUCCUCGGCACUCUAGGAGGUCUCGUAGCCGUCGGCAUCGUCGGAUGGGUGGGCUUCUCCUUCUACAAGAAAAACAAGAACAAGAAGAAGCGAGCGAACGACAUGGAGAAUGGCCAGAGCAACAGCGCAUACGCCGGCAGUAGCAGCAGAUUGGACUAGAAAAUGGGUUAUUCUAUAGAGAACUUUCGUAUUCUCACAUUGCCUUUUUGACAGAAGAACCAUGAUAUGGCUGUUUGCGUAAUAAAAGACAAACAUAU